CUUUGCCUCUGAUUCUGAUUCAUUAGCCCUAAUUCAGUUUUCUUAGUCUGGCAUCUCUGAAACCACAGAGAGAGAAAGAGAGAGAGAGAGAGUAGGGUUUAAUCCCUUCUUCUUCUUCUCUGUUUUCCGACCGAAGUGAAGACUCCGUUUCAAUGCCAUCCUAACUUCAGCCUCGAUUCCCUCUCGGCAAACCCUAAAUCGAGAAACCGAGCUUCGAAACUCGUCAAUGGCCGCCUCAAGGCUAAUAUAAUGAGUGAUUGUUGUACAUCACUUUUGCAUUGUGGAAAUUUUGUCCGUGGAGCUUGUUUAUCAGUGAAAAAAACUAGGAACCAAGAUAUAGACCUUACCUUCAUCAGCCACUACCUCUACAUGAUUUUCAUUGUCAAUUACUUGAAAUGAUAUGUUUCCCAGCCACAACACUGCAGCAAGCAUUUCAAAAGCAUUGUCUUGGUCUUCUUUGCAAAGCUGAACAGUAUCUAAGGCUUCCUGUCAAAGUAGAAAAAAAUAAAUAAAAUUAAUUGAAACUUAUGUGUUUUGUUUCUUAAUUGUUUUAUAUUUGUUGAAUAUUUUCCGACAUAGCAAUAGGUUGCCCCCCUUGAGGUAGAUUUCUGCUUGGUGGGCUAUGGAAACAAUAGAAUUUUUUUAAAAAAAAUAUAGAAUGGGCCUUGCGGAAUUAAGUUUUGCAAGUUUGACUUAGUUUUUUAUUAAUCAUAUUACAAUGUGCUUUAGCAAGACAUGGCUGGUGUCUUCAUGGGAGAAUAUGCAAGCACAUGAUUUCAUGAAAUGUUGGAAACUAGUUCUUUUUUUAAAAUUUUUUAAUUUUUAUAUUUGUGUUGAAAAGUUCUUAUAUAAUAUAUACAGAGGAAAUAGCUAGUUUGAUUUUUAAAGUAGUAAAUUUUCCAUUGCUUAACAUUGAAAAUUAGUUUAGUUUUCUUAAUUACAUUUUUAUAUGAGUGGUAGUAUGAUUUCUUUUUCUGUCCAGGUAAUCUUAAGGGGAAAGUCAGCAUCUUUGUUGAGAUAAAGCUAAUAGCUUGGAUCAAAUGAAGGAUCAGGAUCACGAUCUGCUAUCCCAUCUAUUGAGAAACCUUACCAGUACUGAUGGCUCAAUUAAUGGGAGGAACAUAUCUGGAUUAUUGCCUUGUUUUCAAGACUUGCAAAAUGCAGCGAUGUCUCUUGGAACUCCAGAAAAGGUUCCAGAUCUGAUUUCAAACGGUCCUAAAUGCACCUCAAUGCUUGGUUCUAUUUCUAAGAAGGAUGUUUGCAUUGACAUUCAGGAUCCUCUGCGGCCUAAUGGACAAUGUAUGGCAUUUGAAGGGACAGAGAAGAGAACUAUCACAGACAAUACACAGGGUGGACUGUUUCAAACUCCAUAUGCAAUUCCAUGUCCUACAAGAGACAACAUUCCUGCCAAAGCAAGUGUCCCAGACAAUGGAGUGGGAAGGAUGAAAUUGAAUGACAUAGACUUGAAUACUGUUUACGAUGAUUCUCAGGAUUGUUCAGAAAACCUGGAGAGUUAUCAUGCUCCUGUAAAUCUGGGGAUUGGGUCUCUUUAUUGCACUCUACGGGGACAUCAUGACGGUCAGAAGUCAAGCCCUCUUCAGACAAGUAGGAAUACAGGCUCCACAUCCACCCAGUCACUAUCUAGUUUGAGCAGGGAGGCCCAGGCUCAGGGUUGCACAGAUCGAAUUGUUUUCAAACUCUUUAGAAAAGAUCCAAGUGAUUUCCCUAUUGUCCUGCGGAAACAGAUACUUGACUGGUUAUCUCACAGUCCUACUGAAAUUGAAAGCUACAUAAGACCUAGCUGUAUCAUAUUAACUAUCUAUCUUUGAUUAGGGAAAUCCACAUGGGAGGAGCUUUACUGUGAUCUAAGCUCCAGUUUGACCACCAGUCAUUGAAAUUGCAUCAAAGAGAGGUUUUUUUUUUUCUUUUCUUUCCUUACUAUUUUCUUUUUGACGCUAAGCUAUAAUGGGAGGGAUUUCACGGUUCAUGUGCAUUACAAAUCAGCAUUUGUAUUUGGCUUUGGUUGAAUGAUAGACCAUUGUGUUCCAUAUAAUUCCAGCCUGUUUUUAUCUAGAAUAUGAUGCAAUCAACUAUUUAUUUUUCACUUUAGUACUGGCUCAAUAUGUUCGGCUUUUUAUUCAGAUAUCAGAUACCACUAUUAGAAAUAUGACUUUUUGAGUGUGUGAGCUUGUCAUUAUAGUAUGAUCAAACACAGCUGUGUGGUUGUAAUCUUUUCCACUUGCAAAAUGAACAGUUUGACCUAGCUUUUGUUUGUGUAUGUUCGUGAUUGUACUUCUGUAGUGUACUUCGUAGUUAUUUUUCAGGUAAGAGUUGCUUGUUUCCUGCCUGUUUCAUUCUUAAAUUACUUUUCACUAUGUGAGGUCAAGUCAUUUGGUCGUUGCUGCAUCAUUGAAAUGCAAUUUCAUCUACUAAUAGGUUACUUAUGAAACUAAAUAGAUAAAAUAAAUUGUUGAAGCUGCCUUUAAUUCUUUUGCCCAUUCACAUUUAUAUGGUUUCUCACUUACCACGUAGUAGCUUAAGCACAUUUAUAUCUGUGCUUUGUUUGUGUGUGUUAUUUUCUGAAUUUGGGUUUAUUGUCAUGGCAUGUAGGAUAGCAUAAAACAAAAUAUCUACAUGGUCAUUAUUGACAAAAACCUGCUAGUGAGUAGGGCUCCAAAGAUACAGCGACUGGUAACUCCACUGACUCUGCAGAUGAAGUGAGCUAGGAUUGCAGAGAAUAAGAAGAGAAUUGCAAAGGCCAAGGAAGAGGCAGUCGAAUAAUACAUACUCCUCGCCACUAGGUUGAUUUCCGUAAUUGAUUGCUUAUUAUACCAUUUUCAUUAGGUAACAAUUUUCUUUUUUGCUCAAACUUCAGAUGUGAUUACUAAAACAUUGUGGAACUUAGGUUUUAGUUGAGACUUAGACUUCUUGCACUGAGUUGAGUUCUAAAAUUUUGUCUUUAGAGGUUGACAAAGAUUAUUUCCAUGGAAGUAUUGCUUAAAUGGAUAUGAAACUACCUUAAUUGAUUCUGGUGAUAAGAAUUUUUUUUUUGAGUUUCUACAAGUAAAUUUCUUUUGUAUUUUGAUUAUUAUUUUGAACCAGUGUUUGACAUGCCUAAGUCAUUACUGAAGUUUUAAAGGAUAGCUUGGAAAAUGUGGCCCAAUCUUUUGUUUCCAAGCCUGAAAUGCAGAAAGUAUGAUACUUCUCAUCUAUUCAUGAAUUUUUUAUUUUUGGGUUAUUUGAAAGUCAGAAAUUUUUCUUGUUUUAAUUACACUUUCUUUUGUAGGUGCUUUGUGCUUUUUCUGUAGAGUGUGAUGAUUCAGGAGUUCACUUUGUCCAAAUUCAAGUCUGAAGUUCAAAGCUCAUAAGAGAUGAAGAGUCAGCGUGAUAAGAAAAGUUCCAACUUUAUCUUUUCUAAGACUAGAAUAGUCUCCACAAAUAGUAAGUUUAUUCAUAUGCUUCUAGCGGUCUUUGAAUUAAUUUGUGUUUUCAUUUUUUAGGUCAUAAAUUGCUUGGAGAGGUGCAAAAUAUAAUCAAAGAAUUCAAGAAGUUUGUGCUUCAAACUUUUUCAUUUUUUAAUAUAUGUAAUCACAAUUAAUUUUUUUUAUUAAUUCAUUUGUAUAUACUUUUGAUCAUGCAACUUUUAUUUAUGAAAUA